rnacentral:rRNA from 1 species
ACGAACGCUGGCGGYAGGCCUAACACAUGCAAGUCGAGCGCCCGGAUUUAUCCGGGAGCGGCGCACGGGUGAGUAACGCGUGGGAACAUGCCCUGAAGUACGGAACAACCUGGGGAAACCUUGGCUAAUACCGUAUACGCCCUGAGGGGGAAAGAUUUAUCGCUUUGGGAUUGGCCCGCGUUGGAUUAGCUAGUUGGUGUGGUAACGGCGCACCAAGGCGACGAUCCAUAACUGGUCUGAGAGGAUGRCCAGUCACACUGGGACUGAGACACGGCCCAGACUCCUACGGGAGGCAGCAGUGGGGAAUAUUGGACAAUGGGCGAAAGCCUGAUCCAGCCAUGCCGCGUGAGUGAAGAAGGCCUUCGGGUUGUAAAGCUCUUUCAGCGGGGACGAUGAUGACGGUACCCGCAGAAGAAGCCCCGGCUAACUUC